UGCAUAUAGUCGGCGUUAGGUGCCUUUAUGUGACGCAUAAAGGGUAACAGGGAAUCGGGUGAAAGUCCCGAGCGGUCCCGCCACUGUAACCAGGGAGCUCUCUUUGAAAAGGAAACCACUCAUCUUCGUAUGGGGAAGGACAAGGAGCGCAUGGAUCUGGAAGCCAGGAGACCUACCUAGUAGCCACACCCACA
rnacentral:ncRNA from 2 species